UCAUUGAUGAGGAUGCACCUUUGAGGGACAUGUAAAUAUUUUACAUGUACUGUAUGGCAAGAUGCUACAGAUACCUUGGUUGUUAAAGACCGGAUGCCACAGACUUUUUCAUGGCAGAUAAGGGAGAUAGAAGAUGGAACGACUGGUGGAUAAAAACUCUUCAGUUUAUGUGAUGAAAUUGGCCAAAUCCAUUCAUCAACAUUCCAGUGCUUCAAGGAGGGCUUCACUAUUGUACAUGAGCUUGCACCAAGAAAAAUCCUUUUGACCAAAGUAUACAUUGAAGCAAGAGAGGAGAUGCUUGCAGAAGAUCUUCCAGUGUGAUGCUGAUACACCAUAUGAAAAUGGCUUUCACCAGGAUGGUUCAGGUCCUGAUCAAAUGGAUGGUGUGCAGGGGAAUAAGAAUCAAAGAGGGGGUAAUUGCAGCCUUCAGUGCAUACUUUCUUUUUUAACCCUAUAUGAAAAAUAUGCUCACUUCCUGCAAAGUGCUAUUGCAAAGAUAUGAGUAAAGAAUCAUUCAAAGACGUCCUGUGUUCCAGAAGAGACUAUUAAAAAAUUGUCAUAUUUUACUCACCCUCAUGAUGUUUCAAACCUGUAUGACUUUCUUUUCUUAUGUGGGGACAGAAAAGGAGAUAUUUUUAAUGAAUAUCACAGCCCGCUCUUUCAGUGCAAUGGCAGUGGAUAGAGCCUCAAUUUAAAUCUUAGAAGACCCAAAAGAUGUCAUAAAUGUAGUUCAUGUGACUUGUGCAUCUAAUUUAAAGUCUUAAGGCAUACAAUAAUUUUUUGGUGAGAAACAACCUGAAAUGAGAGAAGCUCCUUCAAAGUGGUUUGUGUGUUCACAUGUUCGUUUUGUUCUUUUUUUUAAGCUUUAAAGUGAGGUACUGUCAACUGCCAUUGUGUUGAAAAGAUAGCCCGUGAUGUUCAUUAAAACUUCUGCUUUUAUGUGCUCCUAAAAUUUAUUUUUGGGUGAGUAUGAAUGUGUAAUUAAGUUAAAAUGAAAUGUGUAGUAAUAUUUUUAA